rnacentral:lncRNA from 1 species
AAGUGGAUGUUUUCAUACUAGUAAGUUGAUAAUGAUCUUAUCAGGUCAUCGUAUGUCCAUUCCUUCUAUAUGCCUACAUUUUUUUCAAUUGUAUUGUUCAUAUCUAAUCAUAGUGAUAUUCAAUAAUAUUUACGUCCUUUUUACUGGAGCGAUGAAUCGAGCGAUGAAUCUUACGAUGCAAGUUCAGAUGUUCAAGAGACCAAACUUUUUUGAUAGGCAUAUUGGUUUGUAUUCAAUUCGAGUUGGUGAGGCCCACUUUUUAUUCGAGUUUAUGUCUUUGUUGUAUUAGAUUCUUUGGUAACGUUGAGGCCUUGCCGAUAUUUCUAUUGCAAUGUCAUGUAUUAGAGUAUUUAAGUCAUGUUUAUGUUUUAAAAUAAACUCAUGUUGUCUUUAAUAUGGAUUCACAUCUAUAUAGUUAAAAAAUGAUUUUCUUAUGCUAAUUUAUGAAAAGAAGGCUUUAAAUUAUCCGUAUUUUCCUGUUUUCACUUCAUGAUUGAAAGUUGCGUUAUGUAAGUCCUGUCUACUAUUCCGCUUUUAAAUGCAAUCACAAAGUAUCGAUUCGCUUAGGCCUAAGUUCAGGACGCAAUAAAUUUGGUGAUGUCUGCAUAACUGUCUGCAGAGCAAACAUCCCUCAGUAUUUACAUUAAUCAUACAGUUAAUUAAUGUAAGUUUUCACCUUAGUUUAUGACUUAAACCAUAAUAAGUAAGAUUUUGUGUAAACAUCGGGUGUAAUUAAAUUUUUUAUCCACCUGCAAACACAAUUUAAGUACCGAACGGCUACCUUAACAAAUAUAGAACUUAAAUGAGAAAGCAUGGAACCAAAGUUAUGUAAGCUUGGUAGAAUUAAACGACUUGUAUCUAGUCCAGGAUGGAAAAGGAUUUAUUAAGCUUAAUGAAUAGAAACGUCAAAGUUGGAACCAUUUAACAACAGGAGCUCUCAAACAGCUCCAUAUACACGAUAGCAAGAAGCUAACCAGGUGCUGUGAAGUUACUUACAUAUUACCAUUUCUUUUAACUUAGUGCAUCCGCUUCAUCGAAAUCUACAUGUUUCUGUAUCAUCUGCUGGAACAUGGUAGGAUGAUAGAUGUGGUUAAAAUUUGAAAGAGGGUUGAAAAGAAUGUGUCGUCUCUUUCCAGGAAGGAUGGAUUAUUGUAUGUUAAAGAUUAAUGUUCCUUCACUUGAAAAAGUGACAAUGGAUCUGCCAAACAUGAAUUGGCCAACCGGACUUAAGAUCAGCAUUUCCUAGAACAGUGAUUGGACUGGUUUUGGAGACGAUAAAGUUGCCACGGACUUGAACUGUCAAUUCAAAUGAAAGCUUCAGUACAAUGAUAAACAGCUGAUCCAUGUGGAUGCACGCAAAAGAGAACGGUUGUGAUAAAGUUUCUUACCUUUGGUUGUUUAUACUUUUCACGGAUGGCAUUCAGAGUGCUUCCACUGGUGUUCAUCUGUAAAUCUUGCAGCAAAAGAACUGUAGUUUUCAGAUCUAACGCCUUAUAUGUAGUGUAGUGCUCCAAAGUUGGAUUCUGCAAGAGAUUUCCAGAGUUAUUUUGUGGUUGCAUUCAAUUGCAAAAAAGAUGACAGGAUCAAGGUGCAAAACUGUUGCAUACCCAUGGGUGGUUAGAUUGAUCAAGUGUCCAUCUGGCUAGAAAUACAGCUGACGCAGCAGUAACAGAUGGAAGAAACUUAAGAAAACUAUAUUCAGCUAGUGUCAACUCUGCUAAAUAGUUUGCCAUGAAUUCCAGUUCAACAGAGGGAACCUGCAGGUUGAAGAAAUUUACUUUGUCAUAUAACCUUCAUUUUCUAGGACUCAAACAAAAAGAAGAUUGCUAUCUCAUCCUACCUCAUAAGAAGCUUGUGAUGCUUGAACGAAUCUCCUAAAAACAAAGGACAAUGGCACAAGUAAGGAGCCUACUCUCACAAGUAACAUGAUUUAACUUGCAUAUAUUGCUAAUUACAGGUACCUCAGGAACUUUUUGGUGGUCGGAGCAGUAAGUUGAAAGCCCAAAAAAUUCAGAACUAGACUUUCCAUUCUUACUACCUGACAAUAGACAUGGAAUCAGUAAUUAAACUUUUCACAUCCACAGGGAGCUUUAAGUCGUAUUAAAGAAGACAUAGGAAAACAUUUGGGAAAUGUUCAGAUCAUUACUCAAGUAGGAACAAAGUAUGCAUCCAAGAUAUUAUAAAAGAGAAAGGAAAGCUCGGAGCUAGAUGAGGCAAUCUAGAUCUUCGCCUUUAAGAAGAUAAGCACAAGGGGGUAAAGGAAAGUAGUUAGGACCAGCAAAAGAAAAAAAUGCUACUACCAUGACUGACUUUGCUAGAAUGACAGUCAAAAGAACAAGCAGAGGAAUGCAAGGAGUGGAUCUUAUACAGUUAUCAAUUUACAAGGACAAAUUCUGAAAGACUAGUUGGAUGCAUAAAGGUACAAAAUGUUAUAACAGACCUUGGGCUUAACCCUCAAAGCUAGCUAAUGAAUUGAGGAUGGUUGAAAACCAUAUAAGAGCUACAACCUGUACUUCUCAACCACUGUGGGCUUCUAACACUCCUUAAAUGCCCAGUACUAGACAUCUAGAGAGUAUCACAUAACACUGGAGUUCAAUAUUAAGUGACCAAACAUCAAGGAUGGGUACCAACGACAAAUACAACCAGGAGAAAUGAAUUUAAAGAAUCUAAAGCAACUCAUACAUGCUUCUUACACUAACUGAAACUAAAGUUACUUAACUGCUCUGUAUUACAUAGCAUAUCUCCAAGUACCUCUUUCUCCACAUAAAUGAAAUGUACGACUAGAUCAGCAUUGGAAUGAGCAUACCUCUUCUUUCGAGUAAGUGUUGUCUGUAAUAAAGCAAAAUUCUUCCACACGAGGUGCACAAAUUUCUUCAUAUUUGCUGCAAGCACAAAAGUAAAUAAAAUAUCACAUACUGCAGAAUAAACCAAUGAAAAGAUGCAGAUGAAAGUACAAAUAGUUUCUCUUUACUGAAGCUAUAAAUAAUUCUAAAAAUUGGGUAAAGUAUAUUACCGUGUAGAAUAUAGCACAUGCACAUACAAGUUUAAAAAAAGGGGAAUGUAAGUUAAAUGGCUCUAUUUCCCACAAGCUCCCACAGUAAAAAAGGGAAAUCUUUGUGAUCUACAAGUUUAUAAAUGUAAAAACUGUUUAGUCUACCCUAUAACCUGACAUUCUUGAGUAUGAAUAUCCAAAAAUGAUUUACUUACGAAGCAAUUAGCAUGCAAGUAACUCCAAGCAGCUGAAGUUUUUGUUUUUCAAUGUAAUGCUCAGAGAGGAACCUAUCAAUAAGAUGUACAGUCAGGUAAAGAGUGUCUGGAACCAGCCUAUAUUCUUCAGAAACCUGCAAGAGAGUGAACAAAAUGAUGGUCAGCGGAUACAAUUUUCACCGUCAUGCAAGAUAAGCAUAUCCAAUACAUGAUAAGCAUGAAAAGAGCUUAUUCAAAAGUAAGUCUGAAUUCCAUAAGCCUGUGCUAUUAUCAAUAUGCAUAAUCAAUGGCGGAAAUGUAAGGGCUCUUUUGAUUUCCAGUAAAACAAAAAUAAUUCAAGCAAUAAAUCUCCGACUACUGAUACAAUGUUUCAUUUCCAUUUUCAUAUCUUGCAUAAAUAAUACAUGCAUAACUUAUGAGGGAACUUAAGAAUUAUUUUACCCAGGAUAAAAUACUGAAUAGUAAUAGGUAUAUUAGCAAUAGCUAGGUAAGAGCACUUAUAAAGAGAAAAACACCAUUAAAGUAUUGCACCUUACAUCAUAGUAAACAGACUUAUUUUCUUAAUAGAGAAAUAUGAAUGUAUCAUAAUAUCUGCUUAUGAUAUUCCAAAAUGACAAAGGAGAGAUGUAUAGGCUAAAUGGUCAUUUGGUCAUUUAGACAGAAAUCAUGAUUGUAGACUAAAUAUGAAAAUUCCUAUCAGAACUAACAUUCGAUGAAAUGCUUUAAGGGAAAACACAUAUGUGAUCUUCCAGGAAGGGUAACCAUAAAAAUUAAACAAGACAAUAAUGCUUGAAUAUGAAGCAAAAAUUUCAGUUGGUGAUGCAUUCAAAAAAAGGAACUGUUCAUCCAAAGAUCAAAGUAAAGGUAAUCAACAAAAAGGUUUUCUACUAUCACAACUUAGGUCUAUAUGUGAAAAGAUUUUGUUUAUUAAGAUCCACAACAUACUCUUUAAGAUAAUAUCUCACAUAUUAUUAACCAGCGUUAAAACAUCCAAGUAAGCAAACUGACCUCCACAAGCCAAUCAAUAAGAAUACUUCGCAUACCCUUGUUAAUGUCCCGCUGAAGCUUUUCCAUAUAAUUAAAGGCAGGCCGCCGGUCAAGCUGUUGGUGAGACGAAUUUGUCAUUUAGUAAUUGAGAAACAUAAAGUCUUAGGUUAACAAAGAAAAGGAAGGGCACUCUUAAACUUGUUCAGAAGUAUUUAAACUAUUUCAUUGCAAUUAUCCAUGAUAAUAUUUGUUUAAUUAAUAACUAAAGGAAGCAUUAAGCUUGAUAUUGUUUAGAUGGUUACAGAUGCCUAGUGCUAUCACUAGACUUAUCAACAGUGCAUCAGUAAUUUUUGAAGUAGUAACAGGAAUGCACCAGUCAUACUAACCUCCAUGGCGUGCAAAUUGUUAUAUAUAUCAGGAGCAUACAGACUACACAUUAGUGGAUCCUUGUGUUUUGAAUCUAUAUCUGCAAUACCAAGCGAAUUGGAGCCUUCCUGUUUCAAGCAAACCUUGCUUUCAUCUGCAUGAUGGAACAGAAACAAAUAAGCUCCUUCUAGAAAAGAACAUAUCAAUAGGAAGAUUUCCUUUCAAGACUAGUAACCUUUCAUGCAAUGUUAAGAUGAUUAUUAAAUUUUGCAGGCAAUGCCAGAAGAUCAAACAGAUUAAUAAGUUUUCCUCCUACCAACAGUUUUGGCUUUUUACCUUUUUUGGAAAAGGUUUUGCAGUCCAUCCAUUUGCAAAAUGACACAAAACGCCCUUUGUAUUGGAGACAUAAAAUAACUAUCUCCAUAGAACCACAAAGACAUAUCACCCAUGAGGAACUAU